UACAGAGGUCUCAAGCGUUGUUCGGAUUUAUUGGGCGUAAAGGGCGCGUAGGCGGCGGGGUAAGUCGGGUGUGAAAUCUCAGGGCUCAACCCUGAAACUGCACUUGAUACUGCUCUGCUUGAGGACUGGAGAGGAGACUGGAAUUCACGGUGUAGCAGUGAAAUGCGUAGAUAUCGUGAGGAAGACCAGUGGCGAAGGCGGGUCUCUGGACAGUUCCUGACGCUGAGGCGCGAAGGCCAGGGGAGCAAAGCGGG
rnacentral:rRNA from 1 species